UGGGGAAUAUUGGACAAUGGGCGCAAGCCUGAUCCAGCCAUACCGCGUGGGUGAAGAAGGCCUUCGGGUUGUAAAGCCCUUUUGUUGGGAAAGAAAAGCAAUCGGCUAAUACCCGGUUGUUCUGACGGUACCCAAAGAAUAAGCACCGGCUAACUUCGUGCCAGCAGCCGCGGUAAUACGAAGGGUGCAAGCGUUACUCGGAAUUACUGGGCGUAAAGCGUGCGUAGGUGGUUGUUUAAGUCUGUUGUGAAAGCCCUGGGCUCAACCUGGGAAUUGCAGUGGAUACUGGGCGACUAGAGUGUGGUAGAGGGUAGUGGAAUUCCCGGUGUAGCAGUGAAAUGCGUAGAGAUCGGGAGGAACAUCCAUGGCGAAGGCAGCUACCUGGACCAACACUGACACUGAGGCACGAAAGCGUGGGGAGCAAACAGG
rnacentral:rRNA from 1 species